GAGGGUAUAGCUCAAGAGGUAGAGCGCAUGCUUAGCAUGCACAAAGUCCUGGGUUCAAUACCCAGUCCCUCCU
rnacentral:tRNA from 1 species